rnacentral:rRNA from 1 species
AGAGUUUGAUCAUGGCUCAGAACGAACGCUGGCGGCGUGCUUAACACAUGCAAGUCGAGUGCGCGUCCGUAGCAAUACGGAUGGCGCACGGCGCACGGGUGCGUAACACGUGGGCAAUCUGCCCUUCGAUGGGGAAUAACUCCGGGAAACCGAAGCUAAUUCCGCAUAACAUUCCUUGGAUCUCGGUUCGAGGACUCAAAGCCGUAAGGCGUCGAAGGAGGAGCCCGCGCCCGAUUAGCUAGUUGGUGAGGUAACGGCUCACCAAGGCAGUGAUCGGUAGCUGGUCUGAGAGGAUGGCCAGCCACACUGGAACUGAGACACGGUCCAGACUCCUACGGGAGGCAGCAGUGGGGAAUCUUGCGCAAUGGGCGAAAGCCUGACGCAGCGACGCCGCGUGGGGGAUGAAGCAUCUCGGUGUGUAAACCCCUUUCGACUGGGACGAAUGCCUCGCAAGAGGAGUGACGGUACCAGUAGAAGAAGCCCCGGCUAACUACGUGCCAGCAGCCGCGGUAAGACGUAGGGGGCCAGCGUUGUUCGGAAUUACUGGGUGUAAAGGGUUCGUAGGCGGUGUGGCAAGUCGGGAGUGAAAUCUAUGGGCUUAACCCAUAGGCUGCUUCCGAAACUGCCGUGCUUGAGUGUGGGAGAGGCGCGUGGAAUUGCAGGUGUAGCGGUGAAAUGCGUAGAUAUCUGCAGGAACACCCGUGGCGAAAGCGGCGCGCUGGACCACUACUGACGCUGAGGAACGAAAGCUAGGGGAGCAAACAGGAUUAGAUACCCCCGUAGUCC